rnacentral:rRNA from 1 species
GACGAACGCUGGCGGCGUGCUUAACACAUGCAAGUCGAACGGUGAAGCGCCUUCCUUUUUGGUGGGUGUGGAUGAGUGGCGAACGGGUGAGUAACACGUGAGUAACCUGCCCCCUUCUUCUGGAUAACCGCAUGAAAGUGUGGCUAAUACGGGAUAUUCUGGGUCUGUCGCAUGAUGGGUCUGGGAAAGAUAUUGUUUCGGUGGGGGAUGGGCUCGCGGCCUAUCAGCUUGUUGGUGGGGUGAUGGCCUACCAAGGCGGUGACGGGUAGCCGGCCUGAGAGGGUGGACGGUCACGCUGGGGCUGAGACACGGACCAGACUCCUACGGGCGGCAGCAGUGGGGAAUAUUGCACAAUGGGCGCCAGCCUGAUGCAGCGCCGCCGCGUGAGGGAUGGAGGCCUUCGGGUUGUGAACCUCUUUCGCCAGUGAAGCAGGCCUGCCUCGUUUGUGGGUGGGUUGACGGUAGCUGGAUAAGAAGCGCCGGCUAACUACGUG